AUUGAACGCUGGCGGCAUGCCUUACACAUGCAAGUCGAGCGGUAACGCGGGGCAACCUGGCGACGAGUGGCGAACGGGUGAGUAAAGCAUCGGAACGUGCCCAGUAGUGGGGGAUAGCCCGGCGAAGGCCGGAUUAAUACCGCAUACGACCUACGGGUGAAAGGGGGGGAUCGCAAGACCUCUCGCUAUUGGAGCGGCCGAUGUCAGAUUAGGUAGUUGGUGGGGUAAAGGCCUACCAAGCCUGCGAUCUGUAGCUGGUCUGAGAGGACGACCGGCCAAACUGGGACGGAGACACGGCCCAGACUCCGACGGGAGGCAGCAGUGGAGAAUUCUGGACAAUGGGCGCAAGCCUGAUCCAGCCAUGCCGCGUGCGGGAAGAAGGCCUUCGGGUUGUAAACCGCUUUUGUUCGGGAAGAAAUUGACUGGGCUAAUACCUCGGUCGGAUGACGGUACCGGAAGAAUAAGCACCGGCUAACUACGUGCCAGCAGCCGCCGCCG
rnacentral:rRNA from 1 species